ACACGAGGCUCAAAAUGGGCUCCCUGAUUUUAUUUCAGGGUUAAUUCAGCUAUAUCGGUGGAAUCCUGCUAAGGGCUAUACCGAGGUAACCACGUUUAGUUUAUAUAAAUAUGGACACCGUAGAGACUAUACGCUGAAGUCCGAUAAAAAUCGGGCAAGAUAUAGUCCGACACUCCAAGUAAUUGGAGC
rnacentral:ncRNA from 1 species